AGGACAGGACAUCCAGGGGACACCUAAAGCUAUUCGUGCCACCAGUGACAGAGCCACGGUUGCAGCCUGGUUCCAGGGUGAGGUCUCAUCAGGCCCACUUGACUAAGAGGAAUAACCACGGUCUCCAAAUCUAGUUUUAUCAGAAAUGAAAGUGAUACUGUGACUAUAUCUGCUCGAUACCUGUCUCUUAUCUCAAUUAUUCCAAACUUAGGAGACUGCUUCCCUGGCCAACUCCAACAGUAGGAGUCUAUCUCUCAACUCAGCCGGCCUCUGCGUUGGAUCUCUUUGUCUCGAAGAUUUGCAACUCUUUCUGGCAACCUCAGAAAUGGUGUGGCCACGGUGGAGUCUCGUUCCAUCUGUGUUCUCUUCAACUAAUGAAAAACUAUGGAGGUCUCAUUAGAAUGUAUACCAUGAUUUUUCGUCGUGACAUGAUUCAUCCACCCAAUCCUCUGCUAUUGGCCAUUUAGGUUGUUUCCAGGUUAGUUCAGUAAGAAUAAUGCAACAGUGAACACCCUUAUAACGAAUUGUGGGAACACAUCCUUAAUUAUUUACUUAAGCUAAAUUCCAAGAAGGCGAUCAUGACUAUAUAGUCAUUUUUUCAGAAAAAUCAUACAUUCCACAUCUUUCUCAGGGGACCUCGACUUGAAGUAAAUUCACCCAUAGGGGAAGAGCAGGUUCAUGUCUGUGUUUAGAUGUUUGCUUCUGGCAAUCCCCCAGACAGCCCCUGUGGGCCAGGAGGUUA
rnacentral:lncRNA from 1 species